rnacentral:lncRNA from 1 species
GGGGGAGGCGGGCUGUCAUUUCGGGGUGGGCAGUGAAGGCCCCAUUCUGCCCUCUCCAGGGUCCCCGCAUCCCCACGCAGCUUCCUGUCCCGGGGAAGCAGCUGCCGGCAUCCCCCAGGAGCCAGGGGUGGCCGACAGCUGGGACGCCGGGGACUGGGACCCAGAAUAUGCUUCUGCGCCGGAGAGAAGUGCGACUGAGGUCCUGACGCUGCUCAAGUGCUUGCUACGCCCAUACAAGUCUGGCCUGCAGCUGCAGAAGCUGCAGGAGUUGCUGCUGGAGAGACACGGGCUGGAUCUGAAGCGGUUUGUCAGCUCCCAGGGCGAGGAGGACGUGCUCGGAUUCCUGCAGAGGCGCCUGCCCGCGCUGGAGUACAGGCAGCCGGAGAAGGGAGCGAAGUGUAUCGUCUGGCUGGGGACAGGGCAGAAGAAAGGCUCUGGAUCUUUGCCCCCUGGCAGUGCCCGCCCCUUGCCUGGCUCCAAGAGGUGCCUCCUCCCAACGAAUGCCGCGGAGCGCCCGCCCCAACCCGCCACCGCCUGCCUCAACCCCCGGCUGCCCAGUGCUACCACCAACCGGCCUCUGCUUCCCAGCCUGCCUUCGGCCCGGGAGCCCUUCCGGGCCCCUGCCGCCCAGGGAAAGCUGGGAAAGUCCCCAGGGGCCAACCCCCGCCUCCCAGCCUGGUUACGGAGCCCACCCCGGCCCACCGGCACCUGCUCAGGCCUACGAACAGAGGAGGGGACCCACGAGUCCAGGACCAGGCCUGCCAGCGCCCCCUUGGUUCUGCGAGCAGAGGAGGGGACUCAGGAGUUCGGGGCCAGGCCUGCCAGCGCUCCCUUGGCCCUGCGAGCAGAGGAGGGGAUCCAGGAGUCCGGGGCCAGGCAGGCCAGCGCCCCCUUGGUUCUGCAAGCAGAGGAGGGGACCCAGGAGUCCAGGGCCCAGCCCCCUGAGGACCUGAGGGAGCUGAAGCGGAAGGUGGGGGCCAUCCUGGCCGGGCACCCCGGGGGCAUGUCCCUCUUCCAGUUCCGUGCCGCGUACAGCGCCGCCCACCAGCACCCGCUGCCCCUGGGCUGCACGGCCUCCACCAAGCAGCGGCUGGCGCAGAUGCCUGACGUGGUGAGGAUGCAGGGCUGCGGGGUGCAGAUGCUGCUGCUGCCAGUGGACCCCGACGGACCCCCCAGGGCAGAGCCUGGUACGUAACGGGGGGUUGGGGGGACAGCUGCCUUGCAAGGUGUGGGGGAGAUAUUAAGGGGCUGGGCUG